rnacentral:rRNA from 1 species
UACGAAGGGGGCUAGCGUUGCUCGGAAUUACUGGGCGUAAAGGGCGCGUAGGCGGACAGUUUAGUCGGGGGUGAAAGCCCGGGGCUCAACCUCGGAAUUGCCUUUGAAACUGUCAGGCUCGAGUACGGGAGAGGUGAGUGGAAUUCCUGGUGUAGCGGUGAAAUGCGUAGAUAUCAGGAGGAACACCUGUGGCGAAAGCGGCUCACUGGACCAUAACUGACGCUGAUGCACGAAAGCUAGGGGAGCAAACAGG